rnacentral:rRNA from 1 species
CCUACGGGAGGCAGCAGUGGGGGAUAUUGCACAAUGGGGGGAACCCUGAUGCAGCGACGCCGCGUGGGUGAAGGAGUGCUUCGGCAUGUAAAGCCCUAUCGGCAGGGAAGAAGCAAGACGGUACCUGACUAAGAAGCCCCGGCUAACUACGUGCCAGCAGCCGAGGUAAUACGUAGGGGGCGAGCGUUAUCCGGAUUCACUGGGGUUAAAGGGAGCGUAGACGGCCAUGCAAGCCAGGGGUGAAAGCCCGGGGCACAACCCCGGGACUGCCCUUGGAACUGUGCGGCUAGAGUGCGGGAGGGGCAGGCGGAAUUCCUGGUGUAGCGGUGAAAUGCGUAGAUAUCAGGAGGAACACCAGCGGCGAAGGCGGCCUGCUGGACUGCGACUGACGUUGAGGCUCGAAAGCGUGGGGAGCGAACAGGAUUAGAUACCCUAGUAGUC